UCUGCUAUCACCGUCUUGGUUUUGUAUUUUUGAAGUCAAAAGGUUCAAGAUUUCAACCAAGAUUCUACCCCCAAAUCUUACACAUCAGUCGAGAUUCACAGCUUAGAAAAACAGAUAAAUCGUUGUCGACGGACAUUGUAGAAUCCAACGGUAACAACUCAGCAGAAGCCUCUGAUCGGUCAAUUUCUACCCAUUCUUUCAUGGAAUCCAAUAUGGUAAAGUAAAUGUCGUACUCACCCUCUUCUCCUUCCUCUUUCGCCCUUGACCUCGUUGUAUUUCUGAACCUAAUUUGAGUAGGUAUGCUGCUGAUAAUUUCCCCUCAUGUCUUGGUGAUGACUUUCAAUCGAAGGGGGUGGAGCUCCAGGCAAGUUACCCUUAUAUAAACAUGUUUUUUGAAUGGAUUGUUUUUGCUCUUAUAAUAAUAGUAAAGUACCAUUAGUAUCAUGAUUGAGAAAUCUCGCAUGCUGUUAGUUAUUUUAUCUUUUACAGCCAUACCCUACUUUACAUGUACAGUGACUAUGCUAAAGUUCCAAGAACCGGAAUAAUCCCUAAAUUGCUUGUUCCAUGAAGCUUGAUGUACCAUGCCCUAAUAAUUCAUCCAAGUGUUUGCUAACUAGUAACUUCCAUGCCUAUGUUUCAUAAGCUUUUCAUUUUUCUUUGAUUGAGCAAACAGUCUGGGGACACUCUUUGAGGCAUAUAAACUUGGUAAAGAUGCUCACAAGCAGCACCCACCUGCCCAAACAUCUUGCCUAUUUUGUAUUUACAAAAGUGUAGAUGAAGGUUUUAGAUUUUUAUGCGUAAUUGUUCUCGAAUGUAAUUUGGUUCAAGUCCUACUACAAACUGUGCGUAAUUAGUAUUAGUUUGAAUUUUGGGAAACCUUAAUUACUACCAAGUUGUAUGUUUAUUGGAAUGAAUUUGGUUAUGCAUUUACAGAAAAGGUUAACAAAACUUCAUUGCAUUUAGAACUGGAAUAUGAAUUUUUGUAGUUUAAGCCUGAUGGUUCAUAAAGUAAAGUACUUUUGCAGAGUCUAGAGUUGUAUCAAGUAAUACAACGGUUAUGAAUUAGGUGACUACCAUUGCAGUUACCACAUGAUCAUUUGACAAAUAUUGUCUGUCUAAUACUUUUUUUCUAUAACUUUAAUAGCGACCUCAAAUCUUGCAUACACUUUCUAUUGGCAGCAUGCUGAGUUUGGUUUUGCUUCUUUAAGUAAACCAGUUGCAGGUCUGACAACUGCUUGUUUCAUCAUCCUUUCUUUUCAUUGGUCACAUUAGUUUACAUUUUAGGCCCCUAGACAUUAUUUCUCCAUUGUAGGUAUAAUGUAGUAUGUCAAUGUCAAUAUGUCAUCUCAUACUUAGUUGGGUGAAUUCGCAUCACUAUAAAGUUAAUCUUGGGUGGGUUAUCCUUGGGGUACCACAUAUGUGUGAGACUAGCAUCAAAGAAAAUUCAUACUUGUUUUAUGUUUUUACCAUGAUACUAACAACAUUGAUCUUAUUCAAUUCUACUUGAAAAUGCAGAGUCAAAAUCAUUAUUCACAUAUAAUGGGUGUCUGUUGUACUUUUAGCAUUCGGGAUUGGUGGGUGUUGGUGGAGGUUUUAGUACGAGCAUGUGUGGGAUAGCCAUGCUUAUCAUCAGGUAAGUUUGUCUGCAACCGUUGUUUAACUUUUCUAAUUCUUUCUUCCUUGCCUUUUGAAGAAAGUAUGAAACACAAAAAUAAUCAGAAAGUAUUGAUUAGAAACUGACAUGAGUUAGUAAAUGUUUCUCAGACUAAGUAAAAGAAUCCAAUAUAUUUCAUACGUUUAAAUUGAACGAUCUCUAUGUCUUGGAAUUAUAUUACAACAAAUACUUGUAAUUUAAUUCAACAACUGGUUACAAAAAAAGCUUAUGAGUGAUUCGGAGGUGUCCUAUUUGAUGCAGAGUUUCCCUUUGGUUAUUUGUUUG
rnacentral:lncRNA from 1 species